CAAAUUUGUGUUAUUCUUUUAUAGGUCUCUUACUUUCUUUUUUCGAUUUUAAACUCAAAGUAAAGUCAAAUUUGUGUUAUUCAUUUAUAGGUCUCUUAUUUUAUUUUUUUAUUUUUAACGCAAAACAAAGUCAAAUUAGAUUUGUUCGUUAGAUCUCUUAUUUUCCUAUUUUUAUUUCUUACUCAAAUGAAAGUCAAAUUUGUACAUGUAUUAUUCAAUUAUAGGUCUCUUAUUUUCUUUUUCGGAUUUUUUAACUUUAAGUAAAGUCAAAUUUGUGUUGUUCCUUUAAGGUCUCUUAUUUUUUGGAUUUUUAACUCAAAGCAAAGUCAAACUUGUGUUGAUCUUUUAUAGGUCUCUUAUUUUCAAAUUUGUGUUGUUCGUUUAAGGUUUCUUAUUUUCUUUCUGUUUAUUUUUAACUCAAAGUAAGUGUUGUUCACAGGAUCUCUCAUUAACAUUGUUUAAUUUGCAAUUCAAAGCGAACUCGAGGGGAAGUUCAACAUUUGUUUUGUGAUUUGUGUUAUUGUAAGGUUUUGGCCUCAUUGACAUUUCUUUUAAUUAAUAUUAAUACAUGUACUGCAAAACCAUUUUUUUGUUUGAAGUAUAUUUUUGGAAGUACUUCAGAUUUUUAAAUGAACUUUAAUUAGGCCACCCUUGAAAAAAAUCUUUGUAUAAUAUUGCCUACAUGCAUGACAUGUAGAGAUGGAAAUUUUCUUUGGCCAG
rnacentral:lncRNA from 1 species